rnacentral:rRNA from 1 species
GGAUUAGAUACCCUGGUAGUCCACGCCGUAAACGAUGUCUGUUAGCCGUUGGGAGAUUUAAUCUUUUAGUGGCGCAGCUAACGCGAUAAGCAGACCGCCUGGGGAGUACGGUCGCAAGAUUAAAACUCAAAUGAAUUGACGGGGGCCCGCACAAGCGGUGGAGCAUGUGGUUUAAUUCGAAGCAACGCGAAGAACCUUACCUACUCUUGACAUCCAGAGAACUUUCCAGAGAUGGAUUGGUGCCUUCGGGAACUCUGAGACAGGUGCUGCAUGGCUGUCGUCAGCUCGUGCUG